GUCAGUAGGCACCAGGCUGUUCUUGGGGCACAGAAUGACUUCCUUACAUAACACUCUCCAGGUCCACACCCGCCCUGCUCAUACACAUAAACAGAUGGAAAAGAGGACAGAGCCUGGACUACGGGAAUAGCCAAGCAGCUGUGAGGAGAGAAGAGGAGGAAGCGCCAGGGAGCCCAGAGCCACCAGACAGUGACGCCACAGAGCCACAGCCAUCACACCCGCACAGGUGAAGGACAUGCGACCAAAUCCCCGUCACCCCAGCACAGCCACGCACCUGUCACAGCCUCGCAG
rnacentral:lncRNA from 1 species